CAUUGGAUCCAGACUUUGAUCAUGGCUCAGGAUGAACGCUAGCUACAGGCUUAACACAUGCAAGUCGAGGGGAAGCGACAUCGAAAGCUUGCUUUUGAUGGGCGUCGACCGGCGCACGGGUGAGUAACGCGUAUCCAACCUGCCCAUCACUUGGGGAUAACCUUGCGAAAGUAAGACUAAUACCCAAUGAUAUCCCACGAAGGCAUCUGAAUGGGAUUAAAGAUUUAUCGGUGAUGGAUGGGGAUGCGUCUGAUUAGCUUGUUGGCGGGGUAACGGCCCACCAAGGCAACGAUCAGUAGGGGUUCUGAGAGGAAGGUCCCCCACAUUGGAACUGAGACACGGUCCAAACUCCUACGGGAGGCAGCAGUGAGGAAUAUUGGUCAAUGGGCGAGAGCCUGAACCAGCCAAGUAGCGUGCAGGAUGACGGCCCUAUGGGUUGUAAACUGCUUUUAUAAGGGAAUAAAGUGAGUCUCGUGAGACUUUUUGCAUGUACCUUAUGAAUAAGGACCGGCUAAUUCCGCGCCAGCAGCCGCGGUAAUACGGAAGGUCCGGGCGUUAUCCGGAUUUAUUGGGUUUAAAGGGAGCGUAGGCCGGAGAUUAAGCGUGUUGUGAAAUGUAGUGGCUCAACCUCUGCACUGCAGCGCGAACUGGUCUUCUUGAGUACGCACAACGUGGGCGGAAUUCGUGGUGUAGCGGUGAAAUGCUUAGAUAUCACGAAGAACUCCGAUUGCGAAGGCAGCUCACGGGAGCGCAACUGACGCUGAAGCUCGAAAGUGCGGGUAUCGAACAGGAUUAGAUACCCUGGUAGUCCGCACGGUAAACGAUGGAUGCCCGCUGUUGGCCUGAAUAGGUCAGCGGCCAAGCGAAAGCAUUAAGCAUCCCACCUGGGGAGUACGCCGGCAACGGUGCAACUCAAAGGAAUUGACGGA
rnacentral:rRNA from 2 species